UACAGAGGGGGCAAGCGUUGUUCGGAAUUACUGGGCGUAAAGGGCGCGUAGGCGGCCUGUUAAGUCGAACGUGAAAUCCCCGGGCUCAACCCGGGAACUGCGUUCGAUACUGGCAGGCUUGAAUCCGGGAGAGGGAUGCGGAAUUCCAGGUGUAGCGGUGAAAUGCGUAGAUAUCGUAAGGAAGACCAGUGGCGAAGGCGGGUCUCUGGACAGUUCCUGACGCUGAGGCACGAAAGUCAGGGGAGCAAACGGG
rnacentral:rRNA from 1 species